rnacentral:rRNA from 1 species
AAAGAUUAAGCCAUGCAUGUCUAAGCACAUGCCUUAAUACGGUGAAGCCGCGAAUAGCUCAUUACAACAGCCAUCGUUUAUUAGAAUAUCGUUAUCUUACUUGGAUAACUGUGGCAAUUCUAGAGCUAAUACAUGCAAUAAAGCUCCGCCCGAAAGGAACGAGCGCAUUUAUUAGAAUAAAAACCAAUCGAGCUUCGGCUCGUAAUUUGGUGAAUCUGAAUAACUUUGCCAAUCGCACAGUCCUAGUACUGGCGAUGUAUCUUUCAAGUGUCUGCCUUAUCAACUUUCGAUGGUACGCUAUACGCCUACCAUGGUAGUAACGGGUAACGGAGAAUAAGGGUUCGACUCCGGAGAGGGAGCCUGAGAAACGGCUACCACAUCCAAGGAAGGCAGCAGGCGCGCAAAUUACCCACUUCCAGAACGGAGAGGUAGUGACGAAAAAUAACGAGACAGUCCUCUUCGAGGUCUGUCAUCGGAAUGGGUACAAUUUAAAUCCUUUAACGAGGAUCUAUUGGAGGGCAAGUCUGGUGCCAGCAGCCGCGGUAAUUCCAGCUCCAAUAGCGUAUAUUAAAGUUGUUGCGGUUAAAACGCUCGUAGUUGGAUCUGCGGCCUCGAAGGACGGUCUCCCGAAAGGGUAGUCACUGUCUCUUCUAGCCUAAAUUCGAGUUGUCUUUAGGUGCUCUAUAUUGAGUGCUUAGAGCGACUAGAACGUUUACUUUGAAAAAAUUAGAGUGCUUAAAGCAGACGAAAUAGUCUGAAUAAGGUGCAUGGAAUAAUGGAAUAGGACCUCGGUUCUAUUUUGUUGGUUUUCGGAGCCUGAGGUAAUGAUUAAGAGGAACAGACGGGGGCAUUCGUAUUUCGGCGCUAGAGGUGAAAUUCUUGGACCGCCGAAAGACGAACGACUGCGAAAGCAUUUGCCAAGAAU